UUGCACUGUUCGUAACCCGGGAUCAGCCCCUCUCCUGAUGUUGGGUUCCAUUCCAGUGCUACAGUAAAUCAUCUGGAACGAUUGGCUGUUGGCAGUGUGCUGCUAGCCUGUUCUGUUGUUGGUACACAA